AUAAAUAAAAGUAAUCGGUCGAGUUAAAAUAUUCAAAAGUCCAAGUAAAUGGGAAAAAUGAUCUUCAAAUACCUUUUAACGUCAUUUUUGUAAAUAAUAAAGACAACAUUUUUUUUUUAUUAAUUCAAUGCAUGUUUGGAAAUGAAUUAAUACUUAUAUUCUACUCUUAAUAUAUACCGGUAUAGGUUACCGUUUCAAACGUAACUCAUCAAUAAAGGCAAAAAGAUAUCUUCGAUCCUUAGCUCGAUAUUCUCUGUUAGCAGAUAUUCUCUGUUAAGAUUUCUUUUAAAUACUGGCAACAAUGAUGCUAAUACUG